GACGAACGCUGGCGGCGCGCUUAACACAUGCAAGUCGAACGGAAAGGCCUGCUUUCCCUUGUGGAUUGCGGGUACUCGAGUGGCGAACGGGUGAGUAACACGUGAGUGAUCUGCCCCCAACUUGGGUAUAAGCCUGGGAAACUGGGUCUAAUUCCCGAUAGGACUGCAGGGUGGUGCCUGUGGUGGAAAACGAUUUUCUAGUGGUUGGGGAUGAGCUCGCGGCCUAUCAGCUUGUUGGUGGGGUAAUGGCCUACCAAGGCGGCGACGGGUAGCCGGCCUGAGAGGGUGGACGGCCACAUUGGGACGGAGAUACGGCCCAGACUCCUACGGGAGGCAGCAGUGGGGAAUAUUGCACAAUGGGCGGAAGCCUGAUGCAGCGACGCCGCGUGGGGGAUGACGGCCUUCGGGUUGUAAACUCCUUUCGACCGCGAGGAAGCCACCUGGUUGGAAGGGUGGCGACGGUAGUGGUAGAAGAAGCACCGGCUAACUACGUG
rnacentral:rRNA from 1 species